rnacentral:rRNA from 1 species
AGAGUUUGAUCAUGGCUCAGGAUGAACGCUGGCGGCGUGCUUAACACAUGCAAGUCGAACGAUGAACCUCACUUGUGGGGGGAUUAGUGGCGAACGGGUGAGUAACACGUGAGUAACCUGCCCUUGACUCUGGGAUAAGCCUGGGAAACCGGGUCUAAUACUGGAUACGACCUUCUGGCGCAUGCCAUGUUGGUGGAAAGCUUUUGUGGUUUUGGAUGGACUCGCGGCCUAUCAGCUUGUUGGUGGGGUAAUGGCCUACCAAGGCGACGACGGGUAGCCGGCCUGAGAGGGUGACCGGCCACACUGGGACUGAGACACGGCCCAGACUCCUACGGGAGGCAGCAGUGGGGAAUAUUGCACAAUGGGCGCAAGCCUGAUGCAGCGACGCCGCGUGAGGGAUGAAGGCCUUCGGGUUGUAAACCUCUUUCAGUAGGGAAGAAGCUGGUCCUUCGGGGUUGGUGACGGUACCUGCAGAAGAAGCGCCGGCUAACUACGUGCCAGCAGCCGCGGUAAUACGUAGGGCGCAAGCGUUAUCCGGAAUUAUUGGGCGUAAAGAGCUCGUAGGCGGUUUGUCGCGUCUGCCGUGAAAGUCCGGGGCUUAACUCCGGAUCUGCGGUGGGUACGGGCAGACUAGAGUGCAGUAGGGGAGACUGGAAUUCCUGGUGUAGCGGUGAAAUGCGCAGAUAUCAGGAGGAACACCGAUGGCGAAGGCAGGUCUCUGGGCUGUAACUGACGCUGAGGAGCGAAAGCAUGGGGAGCGAACAGGAUUAGAUACCCUAGUAGUCC